rnacentral:misc_RNA from 1 species
GGUCGAGUUACGCUUGCACAAAACUUAAACGUCAUUGGUCACGGAACUUUGCGUACCAAAAACUUUCAUCUCGACAAGCAUGGUCACGAAAACGCACCAAUGCGUCGCAACGAUGGCGUCACGUUCAAAGAACACGAUGACGAUGAAACUAAAUCAUUCUCGCGAUGGAGAUCUGCCAUGCAUGUGAAGUUGUCUCGCCGAGAAGC